rnacentral:tRNA from 1 species
AUUUACUUAAUAUAUUUAAGUAUAUUUGACUUCCAAUCAAAAAGUUUGUAUUCAACAAAGUAAAUA